UUUCAUCAACCUUUCGCGCCACUGCCCCACCAUCUCUCGUCAAAUGCCUAGCCUAAUCGAUCUCCCUUCUUUGGCAAAGUUUCCCUCUUUCACUCUCAUGCUUCAAUCUCCAACAUUUGCUCUCCAUAAAUUUCUUGUCUUUCACCUCUCAUCCAUACACUCUUCUCAAUCUCGUGGUUGAGCUUCAACAUUUGAGUUAAAAAGAACCCUAGACCCCUUUACUCUUUCACUGCAACAGGAGAAAGGCGUGCUUGGGGAAGGAAAAAAGAGAUGAAGGAAGAAACAGGGGAGAGUUUGAAGCGAGAACAGAGGAAACUGAGGUCGAGGCAAGGAAUAUGUGUCUUUAUUUGGUUGGUUGCUUGGAUUUAGGGUUGGCAGAUCUAAUGAUUUUCUAGUAAUAAUUGGCAGCUUUGCAGAUAAGAAUUUUUUUGCAUGACAUUCUAUUCUUGCUGUGAAUUAAAUUUUUAUUUUUAUUUAUAUAAACAUAUCAAACAAAUCCAUGAAUGAUGUUCUAUUCUUGUUAUAAGUAGAAAAAAUAAAGGAGAAAUGAAAAAAGAAUUCUGGUAUAAUGAAAUUAAUGCUUGAAAUAUUGACCAUUUUGUUUGAUUUAGGACUCUAGGAUGGGGGCAUCUUGGACUGUACUUCACGAUUUUGUUCUGAUGCUGCACUUCAAAUUUUUUUAGUUAUUUAUGCUUAGCUUUUACUCACAAAAUUAUGAAAUAUGCCUUAAUUUACUUAUGUAUGUAUAGGCUUUUAUUUCAAGUUCUGUAUCUAGAUGUGACUACAAGAUUGUGAAGGAAAUUGCUCAUUCUGCAUUACGUGGAAUGUGGAGGGUUGUGCCUCUUAUAUCAUACAUGAUUUCAUCCAAAAUUUGGAAGGGGCAACAAAAGCAUGUUGAUAUCUUGACAAAGAUGACCGAGGAGCUUAUAUCUAUAAUAGUUGAGUAGCGACAAGAGUUUAGAAAUUGUAAAAAAGAAAGAAUAUUAAUAUCUUGGGUGUAUGUCACUUAUGAAUAUUUGACAGUUUUAGAUAUUUUUAAAAUAAUUUUAUUAUGGUUUAACA